GACGAACGCUAACGGUAUGCUUAACACAUGCAAGUCGAACGGCAGCACGGUCGUAGCAAUACGAUGGGUGGCGAGUGGCGGACGGGUGAGUAAUGCAUAGGAAUCUGCCUUGUAGUGGGGGAUAACCCGGGGAAACUCGGGCUAAUACCGCAUAAUCUUUACGAAGCCAAGUGGGGGACCGUAAGGCCUCCCGCUAUAAGAUGAGCCUAUGUCGGAUUAGCUAGUUGGUAGGGUAAAGGCCUACCAAGGCAACGAGCCGUAGCUGGUCUGAGAGGAUGAUCAGCCACACUGGGACUGAGACACGGCCCAGACUCCUACGGGAGGCAGCAGUGGGGAAUAUUGGACAAUGGGCGCAAGCCUGAUCCAGCAAUACCGUGUGUGUGAAGAAGGCCUUAGGGUUGUAAAGCACUUUUAGUGGGAAAGAAAAGCUCAUGGUUAAUAUCCAUGAGUGCUGACGUUACCCACAGAAAAAGCACUGGCUAACUCUGUGCCAGCAGCCGCCGUAA
rnacentral:rRNA from 1 species